rnacentral:rRNA from 1 species
GCACUACGGUGCUGAAGCGACAAAUGCCCUGCUUCCAGGAAAAGCCUCUAAGCAUCAGGUAACAUUAAAUCGUACCCCAAACCGACACAGGUGGUCAGGUAGAGAAUACCAAGGCGCUUGAGAGAACUCGGGUGAAGGAACUAGGCAAAAUGGUGCCGUAACUUCGGGAGAAGGCACGCUGAUAUGUAGGUGAAGCGACUUGCUCGUGGAGCUGAAAUCAGUCGAAGAUACCAGCUGGCUGCAACUGUUUAUUAAAAACACAGCACUGUGCAAACACGAAAGUGGACGUAUACGGUGUGACGCCUGCCCGGUGCCGGAAGGUUAAUUGAUGGGGUUAGCGGCAACGCGAAGCUCUUGAUCGAAGCCCCGGUAAACGGCGGCCGUAACUAUAACGGUCCUAAGGUAGCGAAAUUCCUUGUCGGGUAAGUUCCGACCUGCACGAAUGGCGUAAUGAUGGCCAGGCUGUCUCCACCCGAGACUCAGUGAAAUUGAACUCGCUGUGAAGAUGCAGUGUACCCGCGGCAAGACGGAAAGACCCCGUGAACCUUUACUAUAGCUUGACACUGAACAUUGAGCCUUGAUGUGUAGGAUAGGUGGGAGGCUUUGAAGUGUGGACGCCAGUCUGCAUGGAGCCGACCUUGAAAUACCACCCUUUAAUGUUUGAUGUUCUAACGUGGGCCCGUAAUCCGGGUUGCGGACAGUGUCUGGUGGGUAGUUUGACUGGGGCGGUCUCCUCCUAAAGAGUAACGGAGGAGCACGAAGGUUGGCUAAUCCUGGUCGGACAUCAGGAGGUUAGUGCAAUGGCAUAAGCCAGCUUGACUGCGAGCGUGACGGCGCGAGCAGGUGCGAAAGCAGGUCAUAGUGAUCCGGUGGUUCUGAAUGGAAGGGCCAUCGCUCAACGGAUAAAAGGUACUCCGGGGAUAACAGGCUGAUACCGCCCAAGAGUUCAUAUCGACGGCGGUGUUUGGCACCUCGAUGUCGGCUCAUCACAUCCUGGGGCUGAAGUAGGUCCCAAGGGUAUGGCUGUUCGCCAUUUAAAGUGGUACGCGAGCUGGGUUUAGAACGUCGUGAGACAGUUCGGUCCCUAUCUGCCGUGGGCGCUGGAGAACUGAGGGGGGCUGCUCCUAGUACGAGAGGACCGGAGUGGACGCAUCACUGGUGUUCGGGUUGUCAUGCCAAUGGCACUGCCCGGUAGCUAAAUGCGGAAGAGAUAAGUGCUGAAAGCAUCUAAGCACGAAACUUGCCCCGAGAUGAGUUCUCCCUGACCCUUUAAGGGUCCUGAAGGAACGUUGAAGACGACGACGUUGAUAGGCCGGGUGUGUAAGCGCAGCGAUGCGUUGAGCUAACCGGUACUAAUGAACCGU